AACGAACGCUGGCGGCAUGCCUAACACAUGCCAGUCGAACGAGACCUUCGGGGCUAGUGGCGCACGGGUGCGUAACGCGUGGGAACCUGCCCUUAGGUUCGGAAUAACUCCCCGAAAGGGGUGCUAAUACCGGAUAAUGUCUUCGAACCAAAGAUUUAUCGCCUUUGGAUGGGCCCGCGUUGGAUUAGCUAGUUGGUAGGGUAAAAGCCUACCAAGGCGACGAUCCAUAGCUGGUCUGAGAGGAUGAUCAGCCACACUGGGACUGAGACACGGCCCAGACUCCUACGGGAGGCAGCAGUGGGGAAUAUUGGACAAUGGGCGAAAGCCUGAUCCAGCAAUGCCGCGUGAGUGAUGAAGGCCUUAGGGUUGUAAAGCUCUUUUACCCGGGAUGAUAAUGACAGUACCGGGAGAAUAAGCUCCGGCUAACUCCGUG
rnacentral:rRNA from 1 species